rnacentral:tRNA from 1 species
GGUAGUGGUUCAGUGGUAAAACCUCUGCUUUGCUUGCAGAAGGUUGCAGGUUCAAUCCCCGCCAUCCCCA